GAAAAGAGAAGGGAAGAAAAAAAAAGAAAGUUCCCACUUCUCAUACUAAUAAUGAAAGGAGUUUGGGAUUUGGUGGGUUUGGAUUUUUUUUUUCUAAUUUUAUGUGCUUAAUUUAGAUUUGUUAACUCGAGACAUUGGUUAGUAUUAAAUUUUAAUAAAUUUGGAUUGGAUCAAUUUGAAUUUUUUAAUUUUUUUAUUUCAUUUUAUUUUAGAUUAGUUUUGAGUUGAACUUAUUUGAUUUUUUUAAUAAUCUUUUGAAUUUAUUUGUUCAAGUCAUUUUAAG
rnacentral:lncRNA from 1 species